rnacentral:misc_RNA from 1 species
GAUGAAGAACGUAGCGAAAUGCGAUAAGUAAUGUGAAUUGCAGAAUUCAGUGAAUCAUCGAAUCUUUGAACGCACAUUGCGCCCGCCAGUAUUCUGGCGGGCAUGCCUGUUCGAGCGUCAUUACAACUCUCAGGCCCCCGGGCCUGGCGUUGGGGAUCGGCGGAAGCCCCCUGCGGGCACAACGCCGUCCCCCAAAUCCAGUGGCGGUCCCGCCGCAGCUUCCAUUGCGUAGUAGCUAACACCUCGCAACUGGAGAGCGGCGCGGCCACGCCGUAAAACACCCAACUUCUGAAUGUUGACCUCGAAUCAGGUAGGAAUACCCGCUGAACUUAAGCAUAUCAAUAAGCGGAGGA